GAGGCAUUUCCAUGUAAAUUCUGCCAAAAUUUUUUUCAAGGCACAAUAAAGAGUUUGAUCUCUUGCUGUGCCAAAAAACCCCACCACAAACCAAAAAAAACCCAAACAACAACAACAACAACAAGAAGGUAAAAAGGUCAGACAAUAAAUAUAUGGAACUGUUGCUUUUGCUGACUGCACCUAUGUUCAGUGGGUAUCAAACCAAACUGGUUUGCUUCAGGUGAUUCAGCCUCCCCAUGUAUUUCACAGAGCUGGGAAAGAGAUGCGUUGGUGUUCUGCAAUUCCACCAAUACACAGAGCUGUGGGGAUGCUUCUGGUGUUUAUCCAUAUUUCCUCUGAACAGCUCAUUAACUUCAUUAUCCUUGGGACACCUCUGCAAAUGGAAACUGAGGCACGGGCGCUCCCCAUGGAAGUGCUUUGGCUGGAAUUGAGAAUGAAGAUUUUAAGAAGUGACCACCACUUUUUGAUCCUCAGAGUUCACAAAACAAAGCCAAGAAGUAGCAAACCUCAAUCUUUCCCCUCCCUCUGAGGACAAAAGGUUCCAUUUUCCACAAGUUCCUCUUCAUUAUCCCUGUUAAAAUCAUUAUCAAGAAACCAGCUGGGGAGUUCACAUGUUUUUCACUCUCUCUCUCUGGUGCCCAGGUUGGAGAGGGCGUGGUUGGAACAUCUCCUUGUUAUUGCUGCAGUCUACGGAGAUUUGAAACAAAUUUUUUUGAUCAAGUAAUUUUGCAGUAUAGGAAUGAGAAUGCUCCUACUGAAAUAAUAUUAUGAGCAUAAUUAAAAGAAUUCCCAGAAGAGAGUCAGCACUCUUGGAAAAAAAAUCCACCUCAUGCAAACAAUAAUAUGAAAGGGCAGGCCAGAGGCUUCUGAGUGCUUUCAUUUGUGUUGAUUCUGUAGUAUUUCUGUAGGAUUUACAAAAGACAGAGUCUGUAAAAUGAUCCUCCUCCACCUGAAUGCCACAAAACUGUGCUUUAAUAGUUGAGCAUUCAAGAGAAAAUAGAACAAAACAUAGUUUUGUCUCAUCCAGACAUGCAUAGGAGCAUCACAUCUGCACUGUCGUAAGGAGUCAUGGAAUAUUUAGGGAUAUAAAAGACCUUUAAGAUCCUUGAGCAACCUUUACCCUGACACUGCCAGGCCCACAGCUCAACCCUGCCCCUAAGGGCCACAGAUCCCUGUGUUUUGAACACUUCAGGGGUGGUGGUUCCUCCACUUCCCUGGGCACUCUGUAAGGAUUUCUCCCCCCUUGCCCUGGGGAAGAAGAGGGAUGCUCUGUGGCUCCCCUGACUGCCGUGCCUGGGAAUUGCUCCCUGGAUCCAGAGGGGAGCUGUCCUUCAGCUCUUCCUCUCUGCCUGCCAUCAGCCUCUCAUGCUCACUUACUGCUGUACCCCAAAAACACAAAUAACCCUUGGGUGGCUCUGUGCUCUCCUGGAGGCACAACGGGGCAGUGGGGAAAAGGCCAGAACAAGGUCCUGGGGGUGUUUUCAUGCACUGGGCUUGGAAGCAAAAGUGACCCUGGACUAGGAUUCAUUAUUUUGGUUUGUGAAGUUUCAUAGAAACAAACACAUUUUAGUCAAUCAGCUGGAUAAGGCAUGAAAGCUGUUUUGGGUUUUUUUCUCUCAGGAAAACCUGUGUGACUUAAACAUUGUGACCAGCAGUUCCCUUGCAGAAAUGAAGUUGGCUCCAUCUGCAUUCAGCUACAUGAAACUGAUACAACAUAAUGGCUCUGCCAAUUUAUUCAUACAGCUGAUAUUUGCUAAUGCACUUUGAUUUAUUGGCUUUCUCGCCUCACAGUAAAGCUGCAUUUUUAUAUACUUUAUUUCCUCCACAAUCCCCAGCAUGCACAGUUCCUGCUGGGCCUUCACAAAUUAAUCUCAAGGUUUUUUUUCCUUGUGUCUUGAGCGAGCAGAGAGCUCCAUCCAUCUCGGUUUGAAAUUGGUUGUGCUCCAACUUUCUGCCUUUUUUUUCUUUCUUUCUUUUUCUCUUUUAGCCUUUUCUGGUCCUGUAGCACUUCCCAGGGUGGAUUUGUGUCUGCUCACAGCAGACAUGGCUCACCUCAGUGUGGAGAGGAGCUUUUAGACCCAUCUGUGUGUCCAGGACUUUGAGAUGCACUUUCAGAGGAUGCUCAAAAAGAAUUUACAGUCUGACUGGGGUGCUGAGGUUAGGUUUAAAUUCAGAUGUAAUUGUCUCUUUUUGCUUGUACAAAAUCAGGGGAAUGAUAAUAUCAAGCAAAUUUGCCUUGCUAUGCUUUGUUAUUGUUGUACUUUUCAAACAUUUUUGUUGUGACACAUAAAUACAAACACCCAAAACAGGCAAUGGGCAUUGUGAGCUCCAUUCUGGAUGUCCUAGGGAUGAAGGACAGCAAUAAAAUUUAUUUGUCAACCCUGUUUGAAUGCUGGAUUCAAAAAAUAGUUUAAUAGAAGGAUUUGGAUGCUGGAUAAUUUUUUCCCCAACCCUUUUAGAUGCAUUAACUGAAAGAGGGAUAAUCAAAUUUAAGUGACUCUGCUUAAUUCACUGGAAACCAUAUGAUCCACCACUGUGACAGCUCUUUUACAAGGCUUGGGCCAUUAUCCCAAAC